rnacentral:lncRNA from 1 species
ACUUCUGCAGAGCUGCUGCUGCUGCUGCAAGGGUUAGGGCCUGAUCGCAAGCAAGCAAUCGGCGCACGGAAAUCCAAGAGCAUUGGUAGUUGUGACAACACACUGCGACCCUGGAAGGAAGUGCUGUGGGGGCUUCACCUAUUACAGCAAAAUGGGUAGCUAGCAGUCGCCCAGGGGUGGCGCUCCCACACAGAGGUUGCAAGAUCAAAAAGGCGUUUACUUCAAGUGUGGAAAAGGUCAGCUAGUGAACAGCCUGGUAUAUAAGAACUGGUCAGACACUGUCACCUACUGGAGGAGCCUUUGAAAGGAAAGAGCCUAGAUCUGGGAUUGUUACAGCUGACCUGGAAAAGUUGGUCAGGAGACACGGACGUUUUGGUUCCCAGCCAGUUCUGUUCUGAGAGCAAAAAUGGAGAUGAUGGCCAUUCAGUAUCAACAUGUGGACCCAGAGAAGCAGAAGUCAGGGGAAAAAUUGAUUUGGCCGGAGACUCAAAGCACCAAGUCACCCAUCCAGCGAGAGGAAAGCGUUCUGUAUAAUGAACAGAAGGUUCCUGUGUGUACAUGUGGGACGGCCACUCGUCUCAAAGUCCUAGCUGGAAUCGCAGGCACAGCUGUGGCUAUAACUCUCAUCAUUUUAGCAGUGCUGACAACCAGAUCCCAUGUGACCAGUUCUCCUUCCCCUGCCGCCUCCUGUCCAGGCCCCUCCUGCCCAGGCAGCUGGAUUGGGUACCGAGGGAAAUGCUAUUAUUUCUCACAGAUGGAAGGGAAUUGGACCUACAGCCAGAGCCAGUGCUCAGCACUCAAUGCCUCCCUGGCUGUGAUUGACAGCGAGCAUGACCUGGUAAGAAG